GACGAACGCUGGCGGCAUGCCUAAUACAUGCAAGUCGAGCGAACAGAUGAAGUGCUUGCACUUCUGACGUUAGCGGCGAACGGGUGAGUAACACGUAAGGAAUCUACCUAUAAGCGGGGGAUAACAUUCGGAAACGGGUGCUAAUACCGCAUAAUAUCUUCUUCCGCAUGGAAGAAGAUUGAAAGACGGCUCUGCUGUCACUUAUAGAUGACCUUGCGGUGCAUUAGUUAGUUGGUGGGGUAAUGGCCUACCAAGACGAUGAUGCAUAGCCGACCUGGGAGGGUGAUCGGCCACAUUGGGACUGAGACACGGCCCAAACUCCUACGGGAGGCAGCAGUAGGGAAUCUUCCGCAAUGGGCGAAAGCCUGACGGAGCAAUGCCGCGUGAGUGAAGAAGGCCUUCCGGUCGUAAAACUCUGUUAUAAGAGAAGAACAAAUUGUAGAGUAACUGCUACAGUCUUGACGGUAUCUUAUCAGAAAGCCACGGCUAACUACGUGCCAGCCGCCGCGGUAA
rnacentral:rRNA from 1 species